GCUGUCGUGAGAAGCAGCACGAUACCAGCGAAGACGAGCACGCUUAAGAAGCCGAUCGUCCGGGAAGCUUCCUCGGCACUUUCAAACUGGCCGCCGUAGAGGACUUAAUACCCCUGAGGGAAUUGUACGGUGGCUUCGACUUGCCGCUGGAUGUCCUGCACAACUCUCUGCAAGUCCCGUCCCGCCACGUUACAGCUUACGACAAUCCGACGCUGGACAUUCUCCCGGUUGAUCGUGUUUGGUCCCAGAUCGGUGGAAACCUCAGCUAACAAACUGAGCGGUACUUUGCCACCACUCA
rnacentral:misc_RNA from 1 species